UUAAAAACUAUGAAAAAGGAAAGUAGCAUAAAGGAAGUUUACAGAGAGAAAAGAGAGAUGAGAACUUUUUAGCAGUAAUUUGUGUGAAGUGCCCUUUGGAGUUGAAGUCUGAAUAUAGUAAGAUUCUCCGGAUUCACCCGUUAUAGUGAUAUAGCAUAUUUAAGUGCUUGAAUUGAGUGGGAUUAGUAAAAAUCCAAUUAGAGUGGAACCGCGAAUGUUACUUCGUCUCUAUA
rnacentral:ncRNA from 1 species